AACGAACGCUGGCGGCAUGCCUAACACAUGCAAGUCGAACGAUACCUUCAGGUCUAUUGGCGCACGGGUGCGUAACGCGUGGGAACCGGCCCUUAGGUUCGGAAUAACUCCCCGAAAGGGGUGCUAAUACCGGAUAAUGUCUUCGGACCAAAGAUUUAUCGCCUUUGGAUGGGCCUGCGUUGGAUUAGCUAGUUGGUAGGGUAAAAGCCUACCAAGGCGACGUUCCAUAGCUGGUCUGAGAGGAUGAUCAGCCACACUGGGACUGAGACACGGCCCAGACUCCUACGGGAGGCAGCAGUGGGGAAUAUUGGACAAUGGGCGAAAGCCUGAUCCAGCAAUGCCGCGUGAGUGAUGAAGGCCUUAGGGUUGUAAAGCUCUUUUACAAGGGAAGAUAAUGACAGUACCGGAAGAAUAAGCUCCGGCUAACUCCGUG
rnacentral:rRNA from 1 species